GACGAACGCUGGCGGCGUGCUUAACACAUGCAAGUCGAACGAUGAAGCUAGAGCUUGCUCUGGUGGAUUAGUGGCGAACGGGUGAGUAACACGUGAGUAGCCUGCCCCAAACUCUGGGAUAACUGCUGGAAACGGUAGCUAAUACCGGAUAUGACCAAUGAAGGCAUCUUCUGUUGGUGGAAAGAAUUUCGGUUCGGGAUGGACUCGCGGCCUAUCAGCUUGUUGGUGAGGUAACGGCUCACCAAGGCGACGACGGGUAGCCGGCCUGAGAGGGUGAUCGGCCACACUGGGACUGAGACACGGCCCAGACUCCUACGGGAGGCAGCAGUAGGGAAUAUUGCACAAUGGGCGCAAGCCUGAUGCAGCAACGCCGCGUGAGGGACGACGGCCUUCGGGUUGUAAACCUCUUUUAGUAGGGAAGAAGCGAAAGUGACGGUACCUGCAGAAAAAGCACCGGCUAACUACGUGCCAGCCGCCGCCGUAA
rnacentral:rRNA from 1 species